AGAUUGAACGCUGGCGGCAGGCCUAACACAUGCAAGUCGAGCGGUAGAGAGGUGCUUGCACCUCUUGAGAGCGGCGGACGGGUGAGUAAUGCCUAGGAAUCUGCCUAGUGGUGGGGGAUAACGUUCGGAAACGGACGCUAAUACCGCAUACGUCCUACGGGAGAAAGCGGGGGACCUUCGGGCCUCGCGCCAUUAGAUGAGCCUAGGUCGGAUUAGCUAGUUGGUGAGGUAAUGGCUCACCAAGGCGACGAUCCGUAACUGGUCUGAGAGGAU
rnacentral:rRNA from 1 species